AAGAAAUCACUUGAAAUCAAACGAUUCUAGUAGAGAAUCUCAAGGCUAUUGCAAAACACUCAAGAAACAAACUCAAGUCAUCUUAGAUCUUUACAGAUCUAGGAGAUUUAGAAAUGAAAUUAACGUAUCGAAAAGAACCAUACAGAGAUGAAGAAACCUAUUUAGAAACUCACAGAACAUGGCUAAUAAAGAAUGAUUUCACUCGAAAUCACACUAAAAUGGCCAAGAACAUGCGAGAGAUGAUCCUAGAUGCAAGUCGCCAUGGCCCUGGUCCCUUGAGGGCCUUAAAGAUGGCAAGAAUGACAUGGGAGAAGCCAUUGGAGGCCCGAGAGAUGAUGAAAGGUCACCAGAGAUGGCUAUAGAUUGGGGGUGGGUUGAGGCAGCAUUUGGAGAUUAGGGUUUAAGUUGAGAGUGUUUUGAGAGCAGAGAGGAUUUUAGGGCAGCGGGGUGG
rnacentral:lncRNA from 1 species